UACGGAGGGUGCGAGCGUUGUCCGGAAUCACUGGGCGUAAAGGGCGCGUAGGCGGCUGGGGAAGUCGGCGGUGAAAGCCCGGAGCUCAACUCCGGGUCGGCCGUCGAGACUCCUCGGCUCGAGCUCACUAGAGGCAGAUGGAAUUCCGGGUGUAGCGGUGGAAUGCGUAGAGAUCCGGAAGGAACACCAGUGGCGAAAGCGGCUUCCUGGUCCGACACCGACGUUCAGGCACGAAAGCGUGGGGAGCAAACAGG
rnacentral:rRNA from 1 species